rnacentral:rRNA from 1 species
AUUGAACGCUGGCGGCCGGCCUAACACAUGCAAGUCGAACGAGUGGCGGACGGGUGAGUAAUGUCUGGGAAACUGCCUGAUGGAGGGGGAUAACUACUGGAAACGGUAGCUAAUACCGCAUACCAUCAGAUGUGCCCAGGUGGGAUUAGCUUGUUGGGGGGGUAACGGCUCACCAAGGCGACGAUCCCUAGCUGGUCUGAGAGGAUGACCAGCCAAACGGGAACUGGGCAACGGUCCAGACUCCUACGGGAGGCAGAAGGGGGGAAUUGUGGACAAUGGGGGCAAGCCGGAGGCAGCCAUGCCGCGGGUAUGUAGAAGGCCUUCGGGUUGUAAAGUACUUUCAGCGGGGAGGCGUUACCCGCAGAAGAAGCAACGGCUAACUCCGUGCCAGCAGCCGCGGUAAUAC